AUCAACUUUCGAUGGUAGGAUAGAGGCCUACCAUGGUGGUAACGGGUAACGGGGUGUUAGGGCACGACACCGGAGAGGGAGCCUGAGAAACGGCUACCACAUCCAAGGAUGGCAGCAGGCGCGCAAAUUACCCAAUCCCGACACGGGGAGGUAGUGACAAUAAAUAACAAUACGGGGUCCUUUCGGGUUUCGUAAUUGGAAUGAGUACAAUUUAAAUCUCUUAACGAGGAACAAUUGGAGGGCAAGUCUGGUGCCAGCAGCCGCGGUAAUUCCAGCUCCAAUAGCGUAUAUUAAAGUUGUUGCAGUUAAAAAGCUCGUAGUUGAAUUUCGGGAUCAGUACGUCGGUCGUGCCUCUGGUAUGUACUGGUGUUACUGGUUCCUCCCUUCUGAAGAACUGUCAUGUCAUUUAUUUGGUGUGGCGGGGAAUCAGGACUGUUACUUUGAAAAAAUUAGAGUGUUUAAAGCAGGCUCGCGCUUGAAUACAUUAGCAUGGAAUAAUGAAAUAGGACGUUUGAUCCUAUUUCGUUGGUUCCUAGGAUUGACGUAAUGAUUAAUAGGGAUAGUUGGGGGCAUUAGUAUUCAAUUGUCAGAGGUGAAAUUCUUGGAUUUAUUGAAGACUAACUACUGCGAAAGCAUUUGCCAAGGAUGUUUUCAUUAAUCAAGAACGAAAGUUAGGGGAUCGAAGACGAUCAGAUACCGUCGUAGUCUUAACCAUAAACUAUGCCGACUAGGGAUCGGAUGAUGUUAAUUUUUUAAUGACUCAUUCGGCGCCUUACGGGAAACCAAAGUGUUUGGGUUC
rnacentral:rRNA from 1 species